rnacentral:rRNA from 2 species
GGNNNNCUAUACAUGCAAGUCGAACGAGCUCUCCCAAAUUGAUUUUAUGCUUGCAUAAAUGAUUUUUGGAUUCGGAGCGAGUGGCGAACUGGUGAGUAACACGUGGGUAACCUGCCCCAAAGCGGGGGAUAACAUUUGGAAACAAGUGCUAAUACCGCAUAAUUAGUUGGAACCGCAUGGUUCCAACUUGAAAGAUGGCUCUGCUAUCACUUUGGGAUGGACCCGCGCCGUAUUAGUUAGUUGGUGAGAUAAAAGCCCACCAAGACGAUGAUACGUAGCCGACCUGAGAGGGUAAUCGGCCACAUUGGGACUGAGACACGGCCCAGACUCCUACGGGAGGCAGCAGUAGGGAAUCUUCCACAAUGGACGAAAGUCUGAUGGAGCAACGCCGCGUGAGUGAUGAAGGUUUUCGGAUCGUAAAACUCUGUUGUUAAAGAAGAACAAGUGUUAGAGUAACUGUUAACACUUUGACGGUAUUUAACCAGAAAGCCACGGCUAACUACGUGCCAGCAGCCGCGGUAAUACGUAGGUGGCAAGCGUUGUCCGGAUUUAUUGGGCGUAAAGCGAGCGCAGGCGGUUUUGUAAGUCUGCUGUGAAAGCCCUCAGCUUAACUGAGGAAGUGCAGUGGAAACUACAAAACUUGAGUACAGAAGAGGAAAGUGGAACUCCAUGUGUAGCGGUGAAAUGCGUAGAUAUAUGGAAGAACACCAGUGGCGAAGGCGGCUUUCUGGUCUGUUACUGACGCUGAGGCUCGAAAGCAUGGGUAGCGAACAGGAUUAGAUACCCUGGUAGUCCAUGCCGUAAACGAUGAAUACUAGGUGUUGGAGGGUUUCCGCCCUUCAGUGCCGCAGCUAACGCAUUAAGUAUUCCGCCUGGGGAGUACGACCGCAAGGUUGAAACUCAAAGGAAUUGACGGGGGCCCGCACAAGUGGUGGAGCAUGUGGUUUAAUUCGAAGCUACGCGAAGAACCUUACCAGCUCUUGACAUCUUCUGCCAACCCAAGAGAUUGGGCGUUCCCUUCGGGGACAGAAUGACAGGUGGUGCAUGGNUUGCUCNUCAGCUUCGUGUCGNGAGAUUNCUUGGGGNNAAGUNCCCGCAAUCGNAGNCGCCAACNCGCNNUAUNUANNUNUAGNNU